AACGCGUGAAGUUGACCGCCUGGGGAGUACGGCCGCAAGGUUAAAACUCAAAGGAAUUGACGGGGACCCGCACAAGCGGUGGAUGAUGUGGAUUAAUUCGAUGCAACGCGAAAAACCUUACCUACCCUUGACAUGUCCAGAAGCCCGAAGAGAUUUGGGUGUGCCCGAAAGGGAGCUGGAACACAGGUGCUGCAUGGCUGUCGUCAGCUCGUGUCGUGAGAUGUUGGGUUAAGUCCCGCAACGAGCGCAACCCUUGUCGUUAAUUGCCAUCAUUUAGUUGGGCACUUUAACGAGACUGCCGGUGACAAACCGGAGGAAGGUGGGGAUGACGUCAAGUCCUCAUGGCCCUUAUGGGUAGGGCUUCACACGUCAUACAAUGGUCGGUACAGAGGGUUGCCAAGCCGCGAGGUGGAGCCAAUCCCAGAAAGCCGAUCGUAGUCCGGAUUGCAGGCUGCAACUCGCCUGCAUGAAGUCGGAAUCGCUAGUAAUCGCGGAUCAGCAUGUCGCGGUGAAUACGUUCCCGGGUCUUGUACACACCGCCCGUCACACCAUGGGAGCGGGUUCCGCCAGAAGUAGGUAGCCUAACCGCAAGGGGGGCGCUACCA
rnacentral:rRNA from 1 species